rnacentral:rRNA from 1 species
ACUACGGGAGGCAGCAGUGGGGAAUAUUGGGCAAUGGGCGCAAGCCUGACCCAGCAACGCCGCGUGAAGGAAGAAGGCUUUCGGGUUGUAAACUUCUUUUCUCAGGGACGAAGAAAGUGACGGUACCUGAGGAAUAAGCCACGGCUAACUACGUGCCAGCAGCCGCGGUAAUACGUGGGUGCCAAGCGUUAUCCGGAUUUAUUGGGUGUAAAGGGCGUGUAGGCGGGAGCGCAAGUCAGAUGUGAAAACUCAGGGCUCAACCCUGAGCCUGCAUUUGAAACUGUGUUUCUUGAGUGCUGGAGAGGCAAUCGGAAUUCCGGGUGUAGCGGUGAAAUGCGUAGAUAUACGGAGGAACACCAGUGGCGAAGGCGGAUUGCUGGACAGUAACUGACGCUGAGGCGCGAAAGCGUGGGGAGCAAACAGGAUUAGAUACCCUUGUAGUC